GGCUCCGCCCUCAGUCGCGGUCGGCCGGCCUGCGACUUUACUGUCCUCUCCUGACCCGGGGACGCAGCUGGGGCGCCCUUUGGCGGUGCGAGCCGCGGUCCGGCCGCGGACUGCCCCAAGGUGAUUUUGACCUUUCUCGCCACCGCGAGUUGGCCUGAGGCGGACCCCGCCGAAUUUUGGAUUAGCCCCAGGUCAAACAGCUUAUCUCUUUCCACCUGUCGCGGAGGAGCGGGGCCCACGGAGGUUGUGUGCCCUCGUCGCCCGUCCGCAUACCGGGCAAGAUCUGUAAGAGGAUGACGUACCUGGCUGUGGCCCGGCCAGGCUAGAUUGCCACCACCGCACCCCACCGCCGGGACUUGAAACAGCUGAUAAGUGGCUCGGUAACUUCGAGUGUGGGGCGGCACGAUUUUUCUCGGACCAGGCUCCAGGGAACUACUUGACGUCCUGUUUCAAGAAGGUUGAAAAUAUCCGACACCGCCAAACAAGCUAGCAUCCAGCCUUUGAAAAGAAGUUACGGAUGGAUGUCUUCAACACAGUGGAUAGUACAGAUCCCAAGAAGCAAAAAAAUCUGCAUCGAGUGACGAGAGACAUACGUCGUUUUCCUAGUUCAUGAAACUCAGUAGUAUUAACUCUUCACGUGAAAAAUUUUUAUUAUAUUUCUGUGUACUGGCAAUAAACAUUUGAAAACAUGAAA